rnacentral:rRNA from 1 species
GUGGGGAAUUUUGGACAAUGGGCGCAAGCCUGAUCCAGCAAUGCCGCGUGUGUGAAGAAGGUCUUCGGAUUGUAAAGCACUUUAAGUUGGGAGGAAGGGCAGUAAGUUAAUACCUUGCUGUUUUGACGUUACCGACAGAAUAAGCACCGGCUAACUUCGUGCCAGCAGCCGCGGUAAUACGAAGGGUGCAAGCGUUAAUCGGAAUUACUGGGCGUAAAGCGCGCGUAGGUGGUUUUGUAAGUUGGAGGUGAAAUCCCCGGGCUCAACCUGGGAACUGCCUCCAAAACUGCAUGACUAGAGUACGGUAGAGGGUAGUGGAAUUUCCUGUGUAGCGGUGAAAUGCGUAGAUAUAGGAAGGAACACCAGUGGCGAAGGCGACUACCUGGACUGAUACUGACACUGAGGUGCGAAAGCGUGGGGAGCAAACAGGAUUAGAUACCCGUGUAGUCC